UUCAGGACUCAAAUGAGCGUCUUAAUUUAUUGAUGCAAAACAGGUCUGCUUGUCGCCCCCAGUUCUCGGCGCGCUCUGUCCCCCACGCCCCCAGCUUCGGUCCCUUCAUUUGAUCUCAGGACAUCUUUCUGAACCACUUGUGCCCACCCACUCUGCACACUGCAUUGUGACCCACUUCCAGACCUCCUGGAUGACUUGAAAUCAAUGCUUACUGAGAACAAAGUUGGAGAAGUAACAUGGAAUUUCUUAACUUGUAGUAGAAAAGGUGGAGUGCCCAUGAUUAUAAGCAUCACGAUUCUAACCUCUGAGGGGUCGAGAGGCGUCAAAGAAAACAGUUUACGAGCUGAGACGAGGUCAUGUAUGAACUCUAGAGACGGCCACUGAAAGUUGUGAAGGAGACAAAGCAAAAUGCCCCACUAAUUUCGACCGCCUUCACGAGGAGAAUCAGAGAAGACUAUCGGCGUGAAUUCUGCG